AUUGAACGCUGGCGGAAUGCUUUACACAUGCAAGUCGAACGGCAGCAUAGGUGCUUGCACCUGAUGGCGAGUGGCGAACGGGUGAGUAAUACAUCGGAACGUGCCCAGUCGUGGGGGAUAACGUAGCGAAAGUUACGCUAAUACCGCAUACGAUCUACGGAUGAAAGCGGGGGACCGUAAGGCCUCGCGCGAUUGGAGCGGCCGAUGUUAGAUUAGGUAGUUGGUGGGGUAAAGGCUCACCAAGCCGACGAUCUAUAGCUGGUCUGAGAGGAUGAUCAGCCACACUGGGACUGAGACACGGCCCAGACUCCUACGGGAGGCAGCAGUGGGGAAUUUUGGACAAUGGGCGCAAGCCUGAUCCAGCCAUUCCGCGUGCAGGACGAAGGCCUUCGGGUUGUAAACUGCUUUUGUACAGAACGAAAAGCUUUGGGUUAAUACCCUGGGGUCAUGACGGUACUGUAAGAAUAAGCACCGGCUAACUACGUGA
rnacentral:rRNA from 1 species